rnacentral:rRNA from 1 species
CCUACGGGGUGCUGCAGUGGGGAAUAUUGCACAAUGGGGGAAACCCUGAUGCAGCGACGCCGCGUGAGUGAAGAAGUAUUUCGGUACGUAAAGCUCUAUCAGCAGGGAAGAAAAUGACGGUACCUGACUAAGAAGCCCCGGCUAACUACGUGCCAGCAGCCGCGGUAAUACGUAGGGGGCAAGCGUUAUCCGGAUUUACUGGGUGUAAAGGGAGCGUAGACGGCAGCGCAAGUCUGGAGUGAAAUCCCAUGGCUUAACCAUGGAACUGCUUUGGAAACUGUGCAGCUAGAGUGCAGGAGAGGUAAGCGGAAUUCCUAGUGUAGCGGUGAAAUGCGUAGAGAUUAGGAGGAACACCAGUGGCGAAGGCGGCUUACUGGACUGUAACUGACGUUGAGGCUCGAAAGCGUGGGGAGCAAACAGGAUUAGAUACCCUGGUAGUC